GAGUUCUCCAUUUGGAGAUGGAAACUGGAAGUACUGGUAUUAAUGAUUUUACUAUGAGGAAUAUCAUCAUCUUCAGAACUUGAAAGACUAGCAAAGCUUCCAGACGACAUAUCAAGACAGUGAUGCAAAUAAUAAACAGACACUCACUAACAUGACUAAAAGUUGAUUGUGAUAACAGUAUACAUACAUGUACAUGUAUAAUGUAGCAGUAUAUAGCAGCAUAUUAACACUGCUCAAUGUCUAAAAGAGGAGCAGAACCCACUUCUUCAAGUGCGCAUAUUGCUUAUAAACAAAAGAAAGGGAAAAAAGAAUGCCCAGGCUGCAAUCAGUGGUUUGGAAAUAGGCACUUCGAGAAUCAUAAAACCAAAUAUUUUAGGCAUAGAAAUUGGAGAUGUAAAA